GGGCUCGUAGAUCAGUGGAAGAUCGCUUCGUUCGCAACGAAGAGGCCGCGGGUUCAAAUCCCGCCGAGUCCA
rnacentral:tRNA from 1 species